UACGUAGGGUGCAAGCGUUACUCGGAAUUACUGGGCGUAAAGCGGGCGCAGGCGGUUUUGUAAGUCUGUCGUGAAAUCCCCGGGCUCAACCUGGGAAUGGCGAUGGAGACUGCAAGGCUAGAAUCUGGCAGAGGGGGGUAGAAUUCCACGUGUAGCAGUGAAAUGCGUAGAGAUGUGGAGGAACACCGAUGGCGAAGGCAGCCCCCUGGGUCAAGAUUGACGCUCAUGCACGAAAGCGUGGGGAGCAAACAGG
rnacentral:rRNA from 1 species